AGCAAUUUGGCGCAGUGGAAGCGCGGUAUGUCUACGAUUGAGUCUCAAAGAUUGAUGUUCGAAUGUAACUAAUUCAUCCCAGCCGGGCUCAUAACCCGGAGGUCGCACGAUCGAAACGUGCAAUUGCUA